GUUCAAACGCUAACAACAUGGCCACCCACACGUCCCUUGUUGACUAGGAGCAAGCUUGCUAAAUGAUGUUAAAUAAGACCGUGGCAUAAAAUGAUUCGAUCGGGAUUUUAUCAAUCCCAGAUCACAAAUAUGUAUUGUACACACAAAGCGUUUGAAAAACGAGUUCAGUAGCGAACGAUAUUGAACGUGUAGAUGGGUAACAAACCCUCGAGCUAGCUAUGCUAGCUUGAGAACAAACAUAAACAUUCCUUUAAGGCUAGCUAUCUACGAAAUUGAAAGAUUAAUUUAUUGUGGGAAGAUGUUGAGUUUUCUAACAGCAAGACAGGCUGGACUUGACGACCCACUUCGUCUGAGACGGGCAGAGUCAACACGGAGGGUCCUCAAUUUAGAGCUGAAUCAUGACAGAGAUGUGGAUCGAAUCCAUAGCAAUGGCGUAAACACCAUAGACAUUGAAGUCAUUGAGGGCAGAUACAUGCUAUCUGGAGGGGCAGAUGGGGUGAUUGUGGUGUAUGACCUGGAGAACAACAGCGGGAAACCCCAAUACACCUGUAAAGCAGUCUGCACUGUAGGCAGGUCCAGUCGGUAUGUCCACAGGUUCAGUGUAGAGACAGUGCAGUGGUACCCACACGACACAGGCAUGUUUGUCUCCAGCUCCUUUGACAAAACCAUGAAGGUCUGGGACACUGAGACACUAAAGCCCGCUGAAGUGUUCCAGUUUGAAGGAAACGUCUACUGUCACCACAUGUCCCCCAUUGCCAGGAAACACAGCCUCAUCGCAGUGGGUACCAAAGACCAGAAAGUACAGCUCUGUGACCUGAAGUCUGGCUCACGCAUCCAGGUUUUGCAGGGUCACAGAGGUGAGGUCCUAUCUGUUCGAUGGUCGCCAAGAUAUGAGCACAUUUUAGCUACAGCCAGUACUGACAGCAGGGUGUUGGUGUGGGAUGUGCGUCGGGCCUCAGGGAGCCUGUUCUCUCUGGAUCAACACAACGGGGACAAGUCCAAGGCCUCGUCAGAGGCAGUGAACACAGCCCAUAAUGGAAGGGUAAAUGGCCUCUGCUUCACGGUCGACGGCCUCUACCUUCUCACCACGGGAACAGACGACCGCAUGAGGCUGUGGAACAGUGCCAAUGGAAAAAACACACUGGUGAAUUAUGGGAAGGUGAGUAACGAAAGCCGUAAGGGGUUAAAGAUCACGGUGUCUCGUAGCUGCAGCCCGGAGUUUGUGUUUGUACCUUGUGGCAGCUCAGUGGCGGUGUACACUCUACACACCGGGGAACUCGUAACCAUGCUAAGGGGACACUACAACAACGUGGACUGCUGCCAGUUCCACCCCGACUACCAGGUGACUGACUGACUGUCUCUGUCUGCCGUCUGUCUGUAGGAGCUGUACAGCGGGGGUAAAGACUGUAACAUCCUAGCCUGGGUUCCUGUUGUACGACCACCAGACGUGGAAGAAGAAGGGACAGCCGCCAAGGGUGGGAGCCAGGCUACGGUGAAUCCUGCUUUUGAAGACGCAUGGAGCAGUGAUGAGGACUGAUGCAUAAGCACAACUGUACAGCCCUACUCCAUCGGACAUAGCUUUAGGAAUCUCAUCAUGGUGCUAGCUUUAGGAAUCUCAUCAUGGUGCUAUCUUUAGGAAUCUCAUCAUGGUGCUAGCUUUAGGAAUCUCAUCAUGGUGCUAGCUUUAGGAAUCUCAUCACGGUGCUAGCUUUAGGAAUCUCAUCAUGGUGCUAGCUUUAGGAAUCUCAACAUGGUGCUAGCUUCAGGAAUCUCAUGUUGCAUCUUAAGACUUAAAAAAAAAACUACAAAUGCAGUUUAACAUCUACUGUGGAGUUGGAGAAUGAACCUUAAUAGACUUUGAAUCUCUGUUGUGAUAUCUGAUUUAUCUUUUAUUUUAUAUACAAAAUGGAAAUCUACACUGAAUGUAUGAAACAUUAGGAACACCUUCCUAACAUUCAUUUGCAUCCCCUUUUGCCCUCAGAACAGCCUCAAUUUGUCGGGGCAACUCUACAGGUGUCGAAAGCGUUUCACAGGGAUGCUGGCUCAUGUUGACUCCAACCAACAGUUGUGUUAAUUUAGCUGGAUGUCCUUUGGGUGUUGGACCAUUCUUGAUACACACGGGAAACUGUUACGUGUGAAAACCCAUCUGCGUUGCAGUUAUUGACACACUCAAACCGGUGUGCCUGGCACCUACUACCUCAGCAGCGUACUGUCAGCAGCAUACUGUCAGCAGCAUACUGCCAGCACAGCAUACCACCCUGCAUCCCACUGCUGCCUUGCCUCUGAAGCUAAGCAGGGUCGGUCCUGGUCAGUCCCUGGAUGGGAGAUCAGAUGCUGCUGGAAGUGGUGUUGGAGGGCCAGUAGGGGGCACUCUUCCCUCUGGUCUAUCUAUCCCAAUACCACAGGGUGAUCACAGAGUGAUUGGGGACAUUGCCCUGUGUAGGGUGCUGUCCUUCGGAUGGGACUUUAAAUGGGUGUCCUGACUCUUUGUGGUCAUUAAAAAUCCCAUGCACUUAUCGUAAGAGUAGGGGUGUUAACCCUGUUGUCCUGACUAAAUUCCCAACCUGGCCCCACCUAAUCAUCCCCCUCAUUCCUAAUUGGCAGAUAUCAUUCCUCACCUCUCCAGCUGAUGUGUGGUGCGCGUUCUGGCACAAAAAUGGCCGCCGUGCAUCACCCAGGUGGAUUCUACACGUUGGUGGUAGAUGAGGUGAGUUUCCCCAUACUAUGUGAAGAGCUUUGAGUAACUCUGUUUGUAGAAAAGCGCUAUAUAAUUCCAAUCAAUUAUUAAUUACCAUACCCCGUUCAAAGGCACUUAAAUCUUUUGUCUCCCCCAUUCACCCUCUGAAUGGUAAACAUACGCAACCCAUGUCUCAAUUGUCUCAAGGCUUAAAAAUCCUUCUUUAACCUGUCUCCUUCCCUUCAUCUACACUGGUUGAAGUGGAUUUAACAGGUGACAUCCAUAAGGGCUCUUAGCUUUCAGCUGAAUUUACCUGGUCAGUCUAUGACAUGGAAAGAGCAGGUGUCCCUAAUGUUUUGUACACUCAGUGUAUGGUGUUGAUGAUUCGUGCAUUAAAACCUAUGGAUGGUUAUCUGCACUGUACAUUGGGCUGUAUAAUCUGUUUCUAUUGUCUGCCUUUGAUGCAACAUGUACAUUGUACUUUACAUGGUGUUAAAAUCAGCUUUCCAUUAUUCCAAUGAUGACCAGAGUAAAACCAGCUGAACUGGAGCCAAACCUUUCCUCAUAGCGUCUUUGAACAUGACGUUCAAGAGACCCACCUUUCCGUCAUCACUUCACACAGAAAUAUUUGUCAGCCAUGUCUCUCUGUCUCUCCCCUACAUUUGCAUUAUUUAUUCUGUUGUCAUUGCUAAAACCAGCUCUGUAUUGUUGUUGUUAGACGUGAUACUGAAAUCAGACUCACUUUCUCUCCUACUGGCAGCCUCAUGUUUACAUAUGAUUGGCUUGAAGGGCAUUAUUUCCCUAUAACUCACGGCAUAUUUGCAUGGUAGAAUGUUCAUGGUUCAAUGGCCAUAGUUCAUUCUAUGGCAAAAGUCGAAUUGAAAACAUUGAUUUUGUUGUAUUCCAAAUGGCAAGCUAGGACAGAUGAUUUGGUUAGCUAUAGUAAACUUGCCAGCUACUUCAGUGGAUGUUGAACACAUUUCUACCGGCAAAUUAACACAUUUCUAGUGAAAAAUAUGUUCAAUUAUAGCCAUGGUAUAAUGGAGAUAAUCAACUCGGGGCUCUAUGCGUUCUCUGGAAAAUAACACCACUCUGUGGAAGGUCAGUUCCACUCUGCAUGGAACACACCUUCCACGUCAUUCAUUAUUUUCCAUAGAACGCAUAGCCUCACUUUGAUUAAACCCUUACAUACUUUUAACCUCUAGGAAACCCGACCUACAAUUAAUCCUAUCAGUCCCGAGAUUCCAGCAAAAAUCUACUUUUCAUUUAUCUGACGUUAAUUUAUCUGUAGCCCUUAUAUUUAGCCUCACAAUUAAGUGUUUUACAGUUUUCUUUUCAGGAUAACCAGAUCUACGGUUGCGUUCAUGGGUUUUAUUGACAUGUCAAUAAAAAAUAUUCCGCCAAAAACAUUGAAAUGAAUUUAAAAAUGAAUUGAUAUGAAUGCUGUAAGUACUGAAAUUGUUUGCUCACUGAGAAAUUAAUAUAAAUAUCCAACCAGUCAA